rnacentral:tRNA from 1 species
GUGGCUGUGGCUCAGCAGUUAAGAGCAGGAACUGCUCUUCCAGAGGACCUGAGUUCAAUUCCCAGCAACUGCA